AUUGAACGCUGGCGGCAGGCCUAACACAUGCAAGUCGAGCGGAUGAAGGGAGCUUGCUCCUGGAUUCAGCGGCGGACGGGUGAGUAAUGCCUAGGAAUCUGCCUGGUAGUGGGGGAUAACGUCCGGAAACGGGCGCUAAUACCGCAUACGUCCUGAGGGAGAAAGUGGGGGAUCUUCGGACCUCACGCUAUCAGAUGAGCCUAGGUCGGAUUAGCUAGUUGGUGGGUAAAGGCCUACCAAGGUGACGAUCCGUAACUGGUCUGAGAGGAUGAUCAGUCACACUGGAACUGAGACACGGUCCAGACGCCUACGGGAGACGGCAGUGGGGAAUAUUGGACAAUGGGCGAAAGCCUGAUCCAGCCAUGCCGCGUGUGUGAAGAAGGUCUUCGGAUUGUAAAGCACUUUAAGUUGGGGGAAGGGCAGUAAGUUAAUACCUUGCUGUUUUGACGUUACCAACAGAAUAAGCACCGGCUAACUUCGUG
rnacentral:rRNA from 1 species